rnacentral:lncRNA from 1 species
GCAGAAGGCAAAGGGUGGUUGUGUGUGGUUGGGAGCUUGUUUACAGAACUGGGUUUGGAAGCUCAUUUCUUGAUUAUUCAUCUCCAGUUCCCAGACCAGGUGAUGCUUGCAUUUAAGCAGGAAUUGUGUGCCUGCCAUGUACCAUAUAUCUCAAACUCCCAGCUUCAUGGUCCUCAAAAAUGCUAUUUCAGGUGAUGGAUGAAACCAGCUUCCUUCGGACCAUAUCAGAAGGAGUACGUCUUCUGUCCAAGGUGAUGAAAAGGUCCGCCCCAAGUCAGCCCCAGCACCUCUAUUCUUUGACAUCCCAAAUCAGAUUUCUGCCCAUGACCCAAAUUCUGAAAAACCUUGAAGUGCCUUUUAGAUCCCAAAGGAGAAUUUUCUCAGUGAGUGCUGCAUUGCUUGUGUGUGGGGUAACUCAUUUAACCAAAAUGUGGCAUUUCCUCUCUAGUUCUGGAUGUUUUGGAAUGCCUGGAAUGCUGCUUGCCAGGGCCAGGACAUUUCAAGAAUGUGUUACCCUAAAGUAAACCAAGAAGGGCCAAGAAGGGCUGUGAUGAAUGGUCGAGCCAUCAGAGUUGAUAACCUGGUAUGAGAGAGAGAGCCAUCAGGAGUUUUUUAUUUCUUUGACACGGAGAGCAAUAAUACUUCAGUCCUCCUCUGUUGUCUUAUGCAACCAUUUGCCCUCCUCACCCAUCUCUUUCCACCACUUUCCUUCCCCUGCACACACAUAACGAGCCCUGUAUUGCUCAUUUUUAGAAACCAGCAAGUGCAUGGUCAUCUGAAACAAUUCCAAAGGAUGCUGAGAAGCAUCUAGUGCUCAGAAGACCUCUAAAGCUGCCGGACAAGCGAUGACUACCUGUUCCCAAAUUUGGGAAUGGAAAAUCAGCAGCCAACUUUUAUAUUUUAAAGCUUUUAAGUGAUGGCUAUUUGGCUUGGUGAGAAGGAAGGUGGCCGAAUCACGUGCAUGAGGAACAUUUGAUAUGCGUCCAUCUGGGUUCUUGCUAUUCUUGAAGAUGCCUGCACAGAAUUCCACCCCCUACCCCGAACACCUCCUCUGUUCUCCUCAAAGGCCCAUGAUGGCCAUUUACCAAAUAUAUUGUACCGUGUCCCCUUUGAGUGGCUGGAUGCUCAAUAUGGAAGACGUCCUUCCACACUAGGAGAGAUGAGCACAGUGGGAAAAAGGGGAAGGGGUGAUGGGCCCAUCCUGUGCCUGGUACUUUCUGUUCACGCUUUGAUUUAUUCCACCCAACAAUGCUGUUCAUACGUGGAGUAUCUAUAUUUUACAGACAGGGAUAGACUCUUUUUGUUGAUGAGGACCACAUUUCCCCCUCUUUCAUCUGCCCCUUUUAAAGCACUUAAAACAGUGCCUGGUACAAAGUAAGUGCGAUAUACUUGUUAGCUACUAUUAUUCUUGUUGCUGCAGUUGUUUCUUUGCUCAGCCGGGCUGUGGGAGCAGCAGAGUGAUGAUGAGCAUCUGCUUGGGCCUGGGACAGACUUACAUUUGAGUCUCAGCUCUGUCUUUUGCAAGUUGAGUUCUUUGGGCAUGUUAUUUUCUGAUUCUUAGUUUCUUUACCUGAGAAGUGGGAUGAUGAUAGAAUUUCUAUCAUGGAGCUGUUGUGAGUGUGGCCAUGGGAGUGUGGAAUAACUGGUAGGUCAUUCUACAAGAUCCUGGGCUGGCAUGGAGACCUUUCACCAGCCAGAGGUGUUUGCCAGCUAGCUCUGCCAACUGUGGAAAACGUCUGGUCCAUCAUCCUUGACAUAAAUGUCCAUGGAGUGUCUACAGUGUCCCUGCUUGUGUUCUAGGCACUGGGGAAGAAAUUGAGAACUUACAUCCCCAUUAGGAAGAGAGUAACAAUAAACAAGCAAGAAAGCAAAUAGAUAAUUUUAGA